ACAGGCAUGCGCCACCACACCUGGCUAAUUUUUGUAUUUUUUGUAGAGACGGGGUUUCACCAUGUUGGCCAGGCUGGUCUGGAACUCCUGACCUGAAGUGAUCUGCCCACCUCGGCUUCCCAAAGUGCUGGGAUUGCAGGUGUGAGCCACUGCGCCUGGCCCCUUCAGGUGGGUUUUGAGGCCACGUUGCUGCUGCAAUAAAUUACCACACACUUAGUGGCUUAAAACAGCACAGAGGUAUUCCCUUACAUUUCUGAAGGCCAGAAUUCUAAAAUCAGUCCCACUGAGUCAAGGUGGGAGCAGGGUCAGUGCCUUCCCAGGCUCUGCGGGAGAAUGUUUCCUGGCCCUGGAGGCGGCCUGUACUCCUUAGCUUGUGCUACCCUUCUGGAAUGACUCGAGUUUCCUGCUUUCAUCACUACACCUCCCACCGCUCUCCAUCACCUGCUGUGCUCUUACAAGGAUCCAGAGAAAUGGAAUUAUUGUAUUGCUGAUCUACGUAAACAAGUUGAAGAAUUGUCUGAAAGAAAAUAUGGUGUGUCUAAACUGGAAAAGUCCUGUGAUAGUUUGUUCAUGAGCAUUUACACAAUGGAGUUACUGUUCAUCAUGGGGGUACUGUGGACCAGCCCAGGGCUGCUGACAUAAUCUUAUGAAUUCAACACAUGAAGAUUUACAACUUGAUAAACCAGCUUCAGGAGAUCAGAACUUCUUACAAUACAACUGAUGUUACUCAGCCUAGAACAAAUACAACAGGGAUUGUACUGCAUUCUGACUUAGGUUCUGCCAUCGAACACAGAAUGCCCUGAUCCUUAGAGGCAGAGGCAGCUCCUCAGCCUAUGGGCAGGAAGAAGAUGAGCCUUAAGUCUGAACACUGAGGAAUUCAUGUGCAUCAGUCAGACCUCCUGUGCAAGAAAGGAUGUGGUUACUAUGGCAACCCUGCCUGGCAGGGUUUCUGCUCCAAGUGCUGGAGGGAAGAGUACCACAAAGCCAGGCAGAAGGAGAUUCAGGAGGACUGGGAGCUGGCGGAGCGACUCCAGCGGGAGGAAGAAGAGGCCUUUGCCAGCAGUCAGAGCAGCCAAGGGGCCCAAUCCCUCACAUUCUCCAAGUUUGAAGGAAAGAAAACCAACGAGAAGACCCACAAGGUUACCACAGUGAAGAAAUCUUCAGUGCGUCUUCCAGGGUCGGAUCAAAGAAGGAAAUUCAGGAAGCAAAAGCCAGUCCUUCUAUAAACUGGCGAACCAGCAUUGAAACGGAUAGAGUGUCUAAGGAGUUCAUAGAAUUUCUCAAGACCUUCCACAAGACAGGCCAAGAAAUCUAUAAACAGACCAAGCUGUUUUUGGAAGGGAUGCAUUACAAAAGGUGCCUCCAGAAAGGGUUGAGAAGAUAAUGGAUCAGAUUGAAAAGUACAUCAUGACUCAUCUCUGUAAAUAUGCGUUCUGUCCAGAACCCCAGUGAGCCUGGAAGACUGGGUGCUAUGGGAAAUGUCAUCAAUCCAAUGCUAGUGAAAGAUGUGACUGGGGAAUGCUGAAAAACGCGCACCCCUGGGAGGAAUGAGGAAAGAUGACAUCCACUGACUUGUUAUUUUUUUGAGAAGGAGUCUUGCUCUGUUGCCCAGACUGGAGUGUGGUGGCACGAUCUCGGCUCACUGAUGAUGAGAAGAAAGAUCUUGCCAUUCAAAAGAGGAUCAGAGUGGAAGCUUCUCUGUGGUGUCAGAAAGAUGAGGAAUGUGGUGACCUCACCUAUCCAUCUCCCUCAAGGCAGCUUUUGCUUAAGUUCUUGGACUCACUGAGGCAGUAAAAGAACCAUAUCCUGUGUUUGAAUCAAAUCCCAAGUUCCUGUGUGUAGAAGGUUUGCCAGACAGGAUUCCCUUUCGAAGCCCUCCUGGUUUGGAAUUCCAUGACUUGAAAGGAUCGUCCAUGGGAGUAAUAAAAUCAAAUUUGUUGGUAAAAAGUAAGUUUUAGGCCAGGCGUAGUGGCUCAUGUCUGUAAUCUCAGCACUUUGUGAGGCUGAGGUGGGCAGAUCACCUGAGGUCCGGAGUUCGAGACCAGCCUGGCAAGCAUGGCAAAACCCCGUAUCCACUAAAAAUACAAAGAAUUAGCCGGGCAUGUUGGCGGGCACCUGUGAUCCCAGCUACUUGGGAGGCUGAAGCAGGAGAAUCACUUGAACCUGGGAGGCAGAGGCUGCAGUGAGCCGAGAUCACAACACUGCACUCCAGCCUGGGUGACAGAGCGAGACUCUGCCUCAACAACAACAACAACAACAAUAAAAAAACCUGAACUGGUUAUUUCCUACUUGCCUCCUGGAGUUGCUAAUAAAAUAAACACUAAAGCUUCGCAGUUUCUAAAAAGACUAUGAAGCCCUGAGAGUAAUGAAAAGGUUCCUGAAAUUGAGGUCACUGUGGAAGGACCUCACAAUGACUCACGCUACCACUUUCUGUUGAUUGUGAUGAAAUGCCAGCUGAGGCACAUGCCUUGGGAGCUAAGUGGCUGCUGCACUUGACCACUAUGAAGACUGGUGUGGGAAGAAUCCUUUUGGAUGCACUUGCAGGGGCCCCUAAUCCCUGGGUCACAGGCCUGUAAUGGGCUACAUGGCAGGAGCCUCAGCCAAGAUGUCUCACCCCACUCUCUCUGAUGCAACAAGAAGCCCCUGGAGAACGUUUCAGUCCCAUUUUGUACUUCUGUCAUGUGCUCAUCACAGUCUGGUGGAUUUAAAUGACCUCUUAUCAAGAUGGAUAAACCCAAGUUUCCCAGUGCUGGAAUAUAGAAAAUGGAUGGACAACUGGAUCUACCAUGAAAGACUUCAGAGUCCAGGAAGAGAGACUGAUUGGGCAACAUGUUAUUCAGUUACAAAAAGACUUGGACUAUGACUCAAAAAUGAUCAAAUAAUAGUGCAUGCAUCCAAUGCAAUAAGAAGCACUUCUGGAGGGUAGGUGCCACAGUUAUCCCCAUUUUGUGAAUGAAGUGAUGAAGACUUAGGAAUGAUGAGUGAUUGCCCAAGCUCACCUGGAUAUUAAGAGGUCUUGCUCUGUUGUCCAGGCUGGAAUGUGGUAGUGCUAUCACAGCUGACUGUAUCCUCGACCUCUCAGGCUCAAGCAGUCCUCCCACCUCAGCCUCCCAGGUGGCUGAGACUGUAUGUGCUUGCCACAAUGCCCAACUAAUAUUUGGACUUUUCCUAUACAUGGGUUCCAAAGGGCUGACUGCGAAAUGUGAGUAUGCAUGGAUUUUGGUAUAUGCAGAGAUGGGGGGCUGGAACGAAUCCUCUCUGUAUGCCGAGGGAUGACCGUAUAUGUUUUUACAGUUAUACUGUAGGAUACAUAUUGUUCCAUAGCCUUGAAAAUGAUGAUUUUUAAUGACAAAUAAUUUUGAAUUUAGUGGUAUAAUAUAAAAGUAGCAGCUGAUCUGGUGUGGUGGCUCAUGCCGGUAAUCACAACACUUUGGGAGUCUGAAGUAGGAGGAUGGCUCAAGGCCAAGAGUUUGAGACAGGCCUCAGAAAUCAAGGGAGUCACCAUCCCUACAGAAAUAUACAUGAAUUAGCCUAGUGUGAUGGCAUGUUCCUGUAGUCCCAGCUACUUGGGAGGCUGAGGUGGGAGGAUCACUUGAGCCCAGGGAGGCUUAGACUGCAGUGAGUCAUGAUCAGGACUCUGCACUCCAGUCUGAGUGACAGAGUGACCCUGUCUCAAAACAACAAAAAGUAGUAGCUAACAUUAACUGACCUUCUACCAGGUGCCUAUACAUACCAUAGAUAGUUUAAUUUCUUAUAACUGUUUCUUAUUUCGCUUAACCACUCUGUCUUCAGUUACUCCCAGAUUUUCACUGUGUUUGUGAAGAUGACUUUUUGUUUAGGUUCAGUUGUCUUCGAAGGUAUUUCCAGAAGAAAGAUUACUGUGAGUCAUGGUGAAUAGACAUUCUCAUUGUCCUUGAUGUAAAUUGACAAGGUUUUGGGUGCCUCCCAGGUAUAAUCCCAGCACUUUGGGAGGCCAAGGCAGGAGGAUUGCUUGACCCCAGGACUUGGAGGAGACAGUAUGGUGAGACAGUGUCUCUAUUAUUAAAAAAAAUUGCCGGUCAGAUGUGGUGGCUCACGCCUUGUAAUCCCAACACUUUGGGAGGCUGAGGUGGGUGGAUCACCUGAGUUCUGGAGUGCAAUACCAGUCUGACCAACAUGGAGAAACCCCGUCUCUACUAAAAAUACAAAAUCAGCUGGGUGUGGUGGCACACACAUGUGAUCCCAGCUACUCAGAGGCUGAGGCAGGAGAAUCACUUGAACCCAGGAGGUGGAGGUUGCAGUGAGCCGAGAUCACACCAUUGCACUCCAGCCUGGGCAAUGAGAAUGAAACUCCAUCUCAAAAAAUAAAUAAAUAAAUAAAAAAUUGGAAGCUUUACCCUGAAAGGCUUAUAUACAGUUUAAACACACCUUAUUGUAUAAGAAAGUGCCCAUUUCACUGCAUCUUUGCCAGCACAGGGUAUUAUAAUUUAAUAAGUUAUUUUUUGUUUGAUGAUUUUAAAUGGAUGAAAGCCGUCAUAUUACUUUGUCACAUUUCAGCAUCUUUCCUUAUACCUUAUUAACCCUAUUUCUUUUCUGUCUGUAAAUUGUUGUUGUUGUUGUUUUGUUCUUUGAGACAGGGUCUUGCUCUGUCACCCAGGCUUGACUAUAGUGCCAUAAUCAUGACUCACUGCAGCCUUGACCUCACAGGCUCAAACUACCCUCCCACUUCAGCUUCCCAAGUAGCUGGGAUUAUGAGUAUGCACCACCACAACCAGCUAAUAUUUUUCUUUUUUUGGAUAGAGACAGGGUCUCACUGUGUUGCCCAGGCCGGUCUCUAGCUCCUGGCCUCAAGCAAUCCUCCUGCGUUGGCUUCUUAAAAUGCUGGCAUGAGCCACGAUGCCUGACUUUGGCUAGUCCUAUAUUCUCUAGAAUUCUCUUUACUUUGUGCUAGCCAAUUUCUCAUUAUGCUGUUCCCCUGUUAUAAUGAAUAAUUGUCUGUAUUAAAUUUUAGGACUUUGGACUUUUGAGUGGUUUAUGUCUCCUGAUUGGACCCUGACUAAUACAGAGUUGAUGCUGGGAAGGGCCCCAGGAGACAGACCCACACAGAUGGGAUUUGGGCAUAGGUUUGGUUAUCCAAGGGGCUGUGCUGAGCUCCUUGCCAAUGGGACAUGGGAUGCUGUUGAUUUCCAGGAAGUGACCUCACAAUGACUCAAGCUACCACUUAUUGUUGAUUGUGAUGAAAUGCCAGCUGUGGCACAUGCCUUGGGUGCUAAGUGGCUGCUGCACUUGACCACUAUAAAGACUGGUGUGGGAAGGGUCCUCUUGGAUGUACUUGAGCAGGGUCCCCAACGCCAGAGCCAUGACCAAGGCCUCUCCUGGCCGAGCUGUGGCCUCACGUUGGCCUCCCCAGGCCAUGUUUCCACUUGCCUCGCGGCAGCCUUGGCAAGCCCAGCUCCUGCCUGCCGAGGGCCUCUUAAAGAGGCUCAUCUCGUGCCUCGCCGUGGCCUCCCCAGGCCAUUCUCCCACCUUUCGGCAGCCUCUGCAGGCCCAGCUCCUGCAUCCCGAUGGCCUUUUUGGGCCUGGCUUUGCCUCACCGCGGCCUCUUGAGGCGCAGCUUUUCCCUUCUGGCGACAUCUCCAGGCCCAGAACUUCCUCAAAUCGGCCUCCCCCGGCCCAGUUGCUGCCUGCCGGCUUCCUCUCCGGGCCCCGCUAUUUGCUCAUGGCUGCGCCCACAGGCCCAGCUCCUGCCUCCGAACAGCCUCCUUUGACUUGGCUCCUGCCCAGCUCCCGGCAACCUACAUCGGCCCAAAGCCUGCUCCAGUCCAGCUCUCCAGGCCCGCCUCUUGCCUCACAGCGGCCUUUCCAGGCCCAGAUCUCGCCUCACGGCGGCCUUCCACGACCGGGCUCGUGCCGGCCUCCGGGCAGCCUCCACAAGCCCAGCUCCUGCCUCACGCUGGUCCCUGUAGGCCCAGCUUGUGCCUCGCGGUGGCCUCUCCAGACCCAGCUCCCGCCCACCCCGACGGUGUCUCCCGGCCCAAAGCUCCCUUACUGAACGAUGACCCCUCUAGACCCAGCUCCUGCCUGCUGCUGAUGGCCUCUGCGGGCCCACCCAAAGCAUCCUGAAGUUGGCUUCACCAGGCCCAGCUCCUGCCUGUUGUAGGCCUCUAGGGGCACGGCCUCUGCCCCACACCAGCACCCCCGGAACCAGCUCUUGCCUCAUCCUAGCCACAUCAGGCCAAGCUCCUGCCUUUUGGUGGUCUAUCCAUACCUGGCUCUUGACUGCUGGCAUCCUUUCCAGGCCCGGAACUGUUUCCAGUGGCCCUCUCCAGGCCCGACUCUCCAUCCGGGCCGCGUCCAGUGGUCCAACCCCUGCCUAACGACAACCACGUUCGGACCAGCUCCUGCCCAGCUCCUGGUAGCCUUUGUAGGCCCCAGGCUCCUCGAAGUGAGGCCUCCCAGGCCCUGCCUUCGGCUCCCCGACGGCCUGGAGAAGCCCAAAUCCUGCCUGACAGCGGCCUCUCUGGGCCCCGCUCUUACCUCAUGUCGGCCUCCCCGGGCCACAUUGCUGCCUGUCUCGCGGCAGCCCAGACAGGCCCCGCUCAUGCCUCCCAACGGCCUUUUGGGCUCAUCUCAUGCCUCACCGUGGCCUCCCCUAGGCCAGGCUCCUGCCUUUUGGUGGCCUCUGCAGGCCCAGCUCCUGUGCCCCGAAGGCCUCUUUAGGCCCGGCUCGUCCCUCUGAACGGCCUCUUUCAGAGGCCCGGCUUUUCCCUCGUGGUGGCCUCUGCGGGCCCAAGUCGGCAAGCCGCCACCACGGCCCGGUGGCUGCCUCCCGGCCUCCUCUCCAGGCCCGGCGCGCUCUCGCGGCUGCGCCUCCAUGCCCAGCCCCCGACUACAGACAGCCGCUUCUGACUCGGCUCAUGCCGAGCUCCCGGCGGCCUUUGUAGGCCCGAAACCUCCUCCAGCCCAGCUCUCCAGGCCCACCUGUGGCCUCGCAGCGGCCUCCCCGGGCCCAGCUCUUGCCUCACGGAGGCCUUACCCGGCCGUGUUCCUGCCAGCCUCCCGGUGGCCUUGACAAGCCCAGCGCCUGCCUCACACUGGGCUCUGGAGGCCCAGCUCAAGCCUCACGGUGGCCUCUCCAGGCCCAGCUCCCGCCCGCCCCGACGGCAUCUCCCGUCCAAGGGUUUCUCAAGUGGGCCCCUCCAGGGCCCAGCUCCUGCCCCCCCGCCGAUGUCCUGUGCGGGCCCAAAGCGUCCUGAAGUCGGCCUCGCCAAGCCCAGCUCCUGCCUGUCGUAGGCCCCUGGACUAGAGGCACGGCCUCUGCCUCCUCAUAGUGGACCCCCGCCAGGCCCAGCUCUUGCCUCAGCAUGGCCGCCUCAGGCCAGGCUCAUGUUCUGCCUGUGGGCAGCCUCCACGGGCCCAGCUCUCGCCUCUGGCCAUCCUCUCCAGGCCCAGAAGGGUUUCCAGCCAGCCUCUCCAGGCCCAGAACUGUUUCCAGCCAGCCUCUCCAGGCCCAGAACUGUUUCCAGCCAGCCUCUCCAGGCCCAGCUCUCCUUGCCGGCUGCGCGUGUCAGCCCAGCUCCUGCCUCGCAACAGCCACGUUCGGCCCAGCUCCUGCCCAGCUCCUGGCAGCCUUUGUAGGCCCCAGGCUCCUCGAAGUGAGGCCUCUCAGGCCCCGCCUUCGGCUCCCCGGCGGCCUGGAGAGGCGCAGCUCCUGCGUGACAGCGGCCUCUCCGGGCCCGGCUCUUGCCUCGCGUCGGUCUCCCCGGACCACGUUGCCGCCUGCCUCGCGGCAGCCCUGACAGACCCGGCUCCUGCCUCCCGACGGCCUCUUUGGGCUCAUCUCGUGCCUCACCGCGACCUCCCCCAGGCCAGGCUCCUGCCUUUCGGCGGCCUCCGCGGGCCCGGCUCCUGCGUCCCGACGGCCUCUUUAGGCCCGGCUCGUCCCUCGCAACGGUCUCUUUCAGAGGCCCGGCUUCUCCCUCGUGGUGGCCUCUGCAGGCCCAAGUCGGCAAGCCACCCCCACGGCCCGACGGCUGCCUCCCGGCCUCCUCUCCAGGCCCGGCGCUCUCUCGCGGCUGCGCCUCCAUGCCCAGCCCCCGACUGCAGACAGCCGCUUCUGACUCGGCUCAUGCCGAGCUCCCGGCGGCCUUUGUAGGCCCGAAACCUCCUCCAGCCCAGCUCUCCAGGCCCACCUGUGGCCUCGCAGCGGCCUCCCCGGGCCCAGCUCUUGCCUCACGGAGGCCUUACCCGGCCGUGUUCCUGCCAGCCUCCCGGUGGCCUUGACAAGCCCAGCGCCUGCCUCACACUGGGCUCUGGAGGCCCAGCUCAAGCCUCACGGUGGUCUCUCCAGGCCCAGCUCCCGCCCGCCCCGACGGCGUCUCCCGUCCAAGGGUUUCUCAAGUGGGCCCCUUCAGGGCCCAGCUCCUGCCCCCCCGCCGAUGGCCUGUGCGGGCCCAAAGUGUCCUGAAGUCAGCCUCGCCAAGCCCAGCUCCUGCCUGUCGUAGGCCCGUGGAGUAGAGGCACAGCCUCUGCCUCCUCAUAGUGGACCCCCGCCAGGCCCAGCUCUUGCCUCAGCAUGGCCGCCUCAGGCCAGGCUCAUGUUCUGCCUGUGGGCAGCCUCCACGGGCCCAGCUCUCGCCUCUGGCCAUCCUCUCCAGGCCCAGAAGGGUUUCCAGCCAGCCUCUCCAGGCCCAGAACUGUUUCCAGCCAGCCUCUCCAGGCCCAGAACUGUUUCCAGCCAGCCUCUCCAGGCCCAGCUCUCCUUGCCGGCUGCGCGUGUCAGCCCAGCUCCUGCCUCGCAACAGCCACGUUCGGCCCAGCUCCUGCCCAGCUCCUGGCAGCCUUUGUAGGCCCCAGGCUCCUCGAAGGAGGCCCCGCCUUCGGCUCUCCGGCGGCCUGGAGAGGCCCAGCUUUUGCCUGACAGCGGCCUCUCUGGGCCCGGCUCUUGCCUCGCGUCCGCCUCCUUGGGCCACGUUGCCGCCUGCCUCGCGGCAGUCCCGGCAGGCCCAGCUCCUGCCUCCCGACGGUCUCUUUGGGCUCAUCUCGUGCCUCACCGCGGCCUCCCCAGGCCAGGAUCCUGCCUUUCGGCGGCCUCCGCGGGCCCAGCCCCUGCGUCCCGAUGGCCUCUUUAGGCCCGGCUCGUCCCUCUGAACGGCCUCUUUCAGAGGCCCGGCUUUUCCCUCGUGGUGGCCUCUGCGGGCCCAAGUCGGCAAGCCGCCACCACGGCCCGGUGGCUGCCUCCCAGCCUACUCUCGAGGCCCAGCGCUCUCUCACGGCUGCGCCUCCACGCCCAGCCCCAGCCUGCAGACAGCCGCUUCUGACUCGGUUUGUGCCCAGAUCCCGGCGGCCUUCGUAGGCCUGAAACCUCCUCCAGCCCAGCUCUCCAGGCCCACCAGUGGCCUCGCAGCGGCCUCCCCGGGCCCAGCUCUUGCCUCAACGGAGGCCUUCCCCGUCCGUGUUCCUGCCGGCCUCCCGGCAGCCUCGACAAGCCCAGCGCCUGCCUCACACUGGGCUCUUGAGGCCCAGCUGACGCCUCGCGGUGGCCUCUCCAGGCCCAGCUCCCGCCUGCCCCAGCAGCAUCUCCCGGCCCAAGGCUAUUUCAGAUGGGCCCCUCUAGGGCCCAGCUGCUGCACCCCAACCAAUGGCCUGUGCGAACCCAAAGCGUCUUGAAGUUGGCCUCGCCAUGCCCAGCUCCUGCCUGUCGUAGGCCCCUGGACUUGAGGCACGGCCUCUGCCUCCUCACAGUGGACCCCCGCCAGGCCCAGCUCUUGCCUUAGUGUUUCUGCCUCAGGCCAGGCUCAUGUUCUGCCUGUGGGCAGCCUCCACGGGCCCAGCUCUCGCCUCUGGCCAUCCUCUCCAGGCCCAGAAGUGUUUCCAGCCAGCCUCUCCAGGCCCAGAACUGUUUCCAGCCAGCCUCUCCAGACCCAGCUCUCCCUCCCGGCUGCGCCUGCCGGCCCAGCUCCUGCCUCGCAACAGCCACGUUCGGCUCAGCUCCUGCCCAGCUCCUGGCAGCCUUUGUAGGCCCCAGGCUCCUCGAAGUGAGGCCUCUCAGGCCCCGCCUUCGGCUCCCCGGCGGCCUGGAGAGGCGCAGCUCCUGCGUGACAGCGGCCUCUCCGGGCCCGGCUCUUGCCUCGCGUCGGUCUCCCCGGACCACGUUGCCGCCUGCCUCGCGGCAGCCCUGACAGACCCGGCUCCUGCCUCCCGACGGCCUCUUUGGGCUCAUCUCGUGCCUCACCGCGACCUCCCCCAGGCCAGGCUCCUGCCUUUCGGCGGCCUCCGCGGGCCCGGCUCCUGCGUCCCGACGGCCUCUUUAGGCCCGGCUCGUCCCUCGCAACGGUCUCUUUCAGAGGCCCGGCUUCUCCCUCGUGGUGGCCUCUGCAGGCCCAAGUCGGCAAGCCACCCCCACGGCCCGACGGCUGCCUCCCGGCCUCCUCUCCAGGCCCGGCGCUCUCUCGCGGCUGCGCCUCCAUGCCCAGCCCCCGACUGCAGACAGCCGCUUCUGACUCGGCUCAUGCCGAGCUCCCGGUGGCCUUUGUAGGCCCGAAACCUCCUCCAGCCCAGCUCUCCAGGCCCACCUGUGGCCUCGCAGCGGCCUCCCCGGGCCCAGCUCUUGCCUCACGGAGGCCUUACCCGGCCGUGUUCCUGCCAGCCUCCCGGUGGCCUUGACAAGCCCAGCGCCUGCCUCACACUGGGCUCUGGAGGCCCAGCUCAAGCCUCACGGUGGCCUCUCCAGGCCCAGCUCCCGCCCGCCCCGACGGCGUCUCCCGUCCAAGGGUUUCUCAAGUGGGCCCCUUCAGGGCCCAGCUCCUGCCCCCCCGCCGAUGGCCUGUGCGGGCCCAAAGUGUCCUGAAGUCAGCCUCGCCAAGCCCAGCUCCUGCCUGUCGUAGGCCCGUGGAGUAGAGGCACAGCCUCUGCCUCCUCAUAGUGGACCCCCGCCAGGCCCAGCUCUUGCCUCAGCAUGGCCGCCUCAGGCCAGGCUCAUGUUCUGCCUGUGGGCAGCCUCCACGGGCCCAGCUCUCGCCUCUGGCCAUCCUCUCCAGGCCCAGAAGAGUUUCCAGCCAGCCUCUCCAGGCCCAGAACUGUUUCCAGCCAGCCUCUCCAGGCCCACAACUGUUUCCAGCCAGCCUCUCCAGGCCCAGCUCUCCUUGCCGGCUGCGCGUGUCAGCCCAGCUCCUGCCUCGCAACAGCCACGUUCGGCCCAGCUCCUGCCCAGCUCCUGGCAGCCUUUGUAGGCCCCAGGCUCCUCGAAGGAGGCCCCGCCUUCGGCUCUCCGGCGGCCUGGAGAGGCCCAGCUUUUGCCUGACAGCGGCCUCUCUGGGCCCGGCUCUUGCCUCGCGUCCGCCUCCUUGGGCCACGUUGCCGCCUGCCUCGCGGCAGCCCCGGCAGGCCCAGCUCCUGCCUCCCGACGGCCUCUUUGGGCUCAUCUCGUGCCUCACCGCGGCCUCCCCAGGCCAGGAUCCUGCCUUUCGGCGGCCUCCGCGGGCCCAGCCCCUGCGUCCCGAUGGCCUCUUUAGGCCCGGCUCGUCCCUCUGAACGGCCUCUUUCAGAGGCCCGGCUUUUCCCUCGUGGUGGCCUCUGCGGGCCCAAGUCGGCAAGCCGCCACCACGGCCCGGUGGCUGCCUCCCGGCCUACUCUCGAGGCCCAGCGCUCUCUCACGGCUGCGCCUCCACGCCCAGCCCCAGCCUGCAGACAGCCGCUUCUGACUCGGUUUGUGCCCAGAUCCCGGCGGCCUUCGUAGGCCCGAAACCUCCUCCAGCCCAGCUCUCCAGGCCCACCAGUGGCCUCGCAGCGGCCUCCCCGGGCCCAGCUCUUGCCUCAACGGAGGCCUUCCCCGUCCAUGUUCCUGCCGGCCUCCCGGCAGCCUCGACAAGCCCAGCGCCUGCCUCACACUGGGCUCUUGAGGCCCAGCUGACGCCUCGCGGUGGCCUCUCCAGGCCCAGCUCCCGCCUGCCCCAGCAGCAUCUCCCGGCCCAAGGCUAUUUCAGAUGGGCCCCUCUAGGGCCCAGCUGCUGCACCCCAACCAAUGGCCUGUGCGAACCCAAAGCGUCUUGAAGUUGGCCUCGCCAGGCCCAGCUCCUGCCUGUCGUAGGCCCCUGGACUUGAGGCACGGCCUCUGCCUCCUCACAGUGGACCCCCGCCAGGCCCAGCUCUUGCCUUAGCGUUUCUGCCUCAGGCCAGGCUCAUGUUCUGCCUGUGGGCAGCCUCCACGGGCCCAGCUCUCGCCUCUGGCCAUCCUCUCCAGGCCCAGAAGUGUUUCCAGCCAGCCUCUCCAGGCCCAGAACUGUUUCCAGCCAGCCUCUCCAGGCCCACAACUGUUUCCAGCCCGCCUCUCCAGGCCCAGCUCUCCUUGCCGGCUGCGCGUGUCAGCCCAGCUCCUGCCUCGCAACAGCCACGUUCGGCCCAGCUCCUGCCCAGCUCCUGGCAGCCUUUGUAGGCCCCAGGCUCCUCGAAGGAGGCCCUGCCUUCGGCUCUCCGGCGGCCUGGAGAGGCCCAGCUUUUGCCUGACAGCGGCCUCUCUGGGCCCGGCUCUUGCCUCGCGUCCGCCUCCUUGGGCCACGUUGCUGCCUGCCUCGCGGCAGCCCCGGCAGGCCCAGCUCCUGCCUCCCGACGGCCUCUUUGGGCUCAUCUCGUGCCUCACCGCGGCCUCCCCAGGCCAGGAUCCUGCCUUUCGGUGGCCUCCGCGGGCCCAGCCCCUGCGUCCCGAUGGCCUCUUUAGGCCCGGCUCGUCCCUCUGAACGGCCUCUUUCAGAGGCCCGGCUUUUCCCUCGUGGUGGCCUCUGCGGGCCCAAGUCGGCAAGCCGCCACCACGGCCCGGUGGCUGCCUCCCGGCCUACUCUCGAGGCCCAGCGCUCUCUCACGGCUGCGCCUCCACGCCCAGCCCCAGCCUGCAGACAGCCGCUUCUGACUCGGUUUGUGCCCAGAUCCCGGCGGCCUUCGUAGGCCCGAAACCUCCUCCAGCCCAGCUCUCCAGGCCCACCAGUGGCCUCGCAGCGGCCUCCCCGGGCCCAGCUCUUGCCUCAACGGAGGCCUUCCCCGUCCGUGUUCCUGCCGGCCUCCCGGCAACCUCGACAAGCCCAGCGCCUGCCUCACACUGGGUUCUUGAGGCCCAGCUGACGCCUCGCGGUGGCCUCUCCAGGCCCAGCUCCCGCCUGCCCCAGCAGCAUCUCCCGGCCCAAGGCUAUUUCAGAUGGGCCCCUCUAGGGCCCAGCUGCUGCACCCCAACCAAUGGCCUGUGCGAACCCAAAGCGUCUUGAAGUUGGCCUCGCCAGGCCCAGCUCCUGCCUGUCGUAGGCCCCUGGACUUGAGGCACGGCCUCUGCCUCCUCACAGUGGACCCCCGCCAGGCCCAGCUCUUGCCUUAGCGUUUCUGCCUCAGGCCAGGCUCAUGUUCUGCCUGUGGGCAGCCUCCACGGGCCCAGCUCUCGCCUCUGGCCAUCCUCUCCAGGCCCAGAAGUGUUUCCAGCCAGCCUCUCCAGGCCCAGAACUGUUUCCAGCCAGCCUCUCCAGACCCAGCUCUCCCCCCCGGCUGCGCCUGCCGGCCCAGCUCCUGCCUCGCAACAGCCACGUUCGGCUCAGCUCCUGCCCAGCUCCUGGCAGCCUUUGUAGGCCCCAGGCUCCUCGAAGUGAGGCCUCUCAGGCCCCGCCUUCGGCUCCCCGGCGGCCUGGAGAGGCGCAGCUCCUGCGUGACAGCGGCCUCUCCGGGCCCGGCUCUUGCCUCGCGUCGGUCUCCCCGGACCACGUUGCCGCCUGCCUCGCGGCAGCCCUGACAGACCCGGCUCCUGCCUCCCGACGGCCUCUUUGGGCUCAUCUCGUGCCUCACCGCGACCUCCCCCAGGCCAGGCUCCUGCCUUUCGGCGGCCUCCGCGGGCCCGGCUCCUGCGUCCCGACGGCCUCUUUAGGCCCGGCUCGUCCCUCGCAACGGUCUCUUUCAGAGGCCCGGCUUCUCCCUCGUGGUGGCCUCUGCAGGCCCAAGUCGGCAAGCCACCCCCACGGCCCGACGGCUGCCUCCCGGCCUCCUCUCCAGGCCCGGCGCUCUCUCGCGGCUGCGCCUCCAUGCCCAGCCCCCGACUGCAGACAGCCGCUUCUGACUCGGCUCAUGCCGAGCUCCCGGCGGCCUUUGUAGGCCCGAAACCUCCUCCAGCCCAGCUCUCCAGGCCCACCUGUGGCCUCGCAGCGGCCUCCCCGGGCCCAGCUCUUGCCUCACGGAGGCCUUACCCGGCCGUGUUCCUGCCAGCCUCCCGGUGGCCUUGACAAGCCCAGCGCCUGCCUCACACUGGGCUCUGGAGGCCCAGCUCAAGCCUCACGGUGGCCUCUCCAGGCCCAGCUCCCGCCCGCCCCGACGGCGUCUCCCGUCCAAGGGUUUCUCAAGUGGGCCCCUUCAGGGCCCAGCUCCUGCCCCCCCGCCGAUGGCCUGUGCGGGCCCAAAGUGUCCUGAAGUCAGCCUCGCCAAGCCCAGCUCCUGCCUGUCGUAGGCCCGUGGAGUAGAGGCACAGCCUCUGCCUCCUCAUAGUGGACCCCCGCCAGGCCCAGCUCUUGCCUCAGCAUGGCCGCCUCAGGCCAGGCUCAUGUUCUGCCUGUGGGCAGCCUCCACGGGCCCAGCUCUCGCCUCUGGCCAUCCUCUCCAGGCCCAGAAGGGUUUCCAGCCAGCCUCUCCAGGCCCAGAACUGUUUCCAGCCAGCCUCUCCAGGCCCAGAACUGUUUCCAGCCAGCCUCUCCAGGCCCAGCUCUCCUUGCCGGCUGCGCGUGUCAGCCCAGCUCCUGCCUCGCAACAGCCACGUUCGGCCCAGCUCCUGCCCAGCUCCUGGCAGCCUUUGUAGGCCCCAGGCUCCUCGAAGGAGGCCCCGCCUUCGGCUCUCCGGCGGCCUGGAGAGGCCCAGCUUUUGCCUGACAGCGGCCUCUCUGGGCCCGGCUCUUGCCUCGCGUCCGCCUCCUUGGGCCACGUUGCCGCCUGCCUCGCGGCAGCCCCGGCAGGCCCAGCUCCUGCCUCCCGACGGCCUCUUUGGGCUCAUCUCGUGCCUCACCGCAGCCUCCCCAGGCCAGGAUCCUGCCUUUCGGCGGCCUCCGCGGGCCCAGCCCCUGCGUCCCGAUGGCCUCUUUAGGCCCGGCUUGUCCCUCUGAACGGCCUCUUUCAGAGGCCCGGCUUUUCCCUCGUGGUGGCCUCUGCGGGCCCAAGUCGGCAAGCCGCCACCACGGCCCGGUGGCUGCCUCCCGGCCUACUCUCGAGGCCCAGCGCUCUCUCACGGCUGCGCCUCCACGCCCAGCCCCAGCCUGCAGACAGCCGCUUCUGACUCGGUUUGUGCCCAGAUCCCGGCGGCCUUCGUAGGCCCGAAACCUCCUCCAGCCCAGCUCUCCAGGCCCACCAGUGGCCUCGCAGCGGCCUCCCCGGGCCCAGCUCUUGCCUCAACGGAGGCCUUCCCCGUCCGUGUUCCUGCCAGCCUCCCGGCAGCCUCGACAAGCCCAGCGCCUGCCUCACACUGGGCUCUUGAGGCCCAGCUGACGCCUCGCGGUGGCCUCUCCAGGCCCAGCUCCCGCCUGCCCCAGCAGCAUCUCCCGGCCCAAGGCUAUUUCAGAUGGGCCCCUCUAGGGCCCAGCUGCUGCACCCCAACCAAUGGCCUGUGCGAACCCAAAGCGUCUUGAAGUUGGCCUCGCCAGGCCCAGCUCCUGCCUGUCGUAGGCCCCUGGACUUGAGGCACGGCCUCUGCCUCCUCACAGUGGACCCCCGCCAGGCCCAGCUCUUGCCUUAGCGUUUCUGCCUCAGGCCAGGCUCAUGUUCUGCCUGUGGGCAGCCUCCACGGGCCCAGCUCUCGCCUCUGGCCAUCCUCUCCAGGCCCAGAAGUGUUUCCAGCCAGCCUCUCCAGGCCCAGAACUGUUUCCAGCCAGCCUCUCCAGGCCCACAACUGUUUCCAGCCCGCCUCUCCAGGCCCAGCUCUCCUUGCCGGCUGCGCGUGUCAGCCCAGCUCCUGCCUCGCAACAGCCACGUUCGGCCCAGCUCCUGCCCAGCUCCUGGCAGCCUUUGUAGGCCCCAGGCUCCUCGAAGGAGGCCCUGCCUUCGGCUCUCCGGCGGCCUGGAGAGGCCCAGCUUUUGCCUGACAGCGGCCUCUCUGGGCCCGGCUCUUGCCUCGCGUCCGCCUCCUUGGGCCACGUUGCUGCCUGCCUCGCGGCAGCCCCGGCAGGCCCAGCUCCUGCCUCCCGACGGCCUCUUUGGGCUCAUCUCGUGCCUCACCGCGGCCUCCCCAGGCCAGGAUCCUGCCUUUCGGUGGCCUCCGCGGGCCCAGCCCCUGCGUCCCGAUGGCCUCUUUAGGCCCGGCUCGUCCCUCUGAACGGCCUCUUUCAGAGGCCCGGCUUUUCCCUCGUGGUGGCCUCUGCGGGCCCAAGUCGGCAAGCCGCCACCACGGCCCGGUGGCUGCCUCCCGGCCUACUCUCGAGGCCCAGCGCUCUCUCACGGCUGCGCCUCCACGCCCAGCCCCAGCCUGCAGACAGCCGCUUCUGACUCGGUUUGUGCCCAGAUCCCGGCGGCCUUCGUAGGCCCGAAACCUCCUCCAGCCCAGCUCUCCAGGCCCACCAGUGGCCUCGCAGCGGCCUCCCCGGGCCCAGCUCUUGCCUCAACGGAGGCCUUCCCCGUCCGUGUUCCUGCCGGCCUCCCGGCAACCUCGACAAGCCCAGCGCCUGCCUCACACUGGGUUCUUGAGGCCCAGCUGACGCCUCGCGGUGGCCUCUCCAGGCCCAGCUCCCGCCUGCCCCAGCAGCAUCUCCCGGCCCAAGGCUAUUUCAGAUGGGCCCCUCUAGGGCCCAGCUGCUGCACCCCAACCAAUGGCCUGUGCGAACCCAAAGCGUCUUGAAGUUGGCCUCGCCAGGCCCAGCUCCUGCCUGUCGUAGGCCCCUGGACUUGAGGCACGGCCUCUGCCUCCUCACAGUGGACCCCCGCCAGGCCCAGCUCUUGCCUUAGCGUUUCUGCCUCAGGCCAGGCUCAUGUUCUGCCUGUGGGCAGCCUCCACGGGCCCAGCUCUCGCCUCUGGCCAUCCUCUCCAGGCCCAGAAGUGUUUCCAGCCAGCCUCUCCAGGCCCAGAACUGUUUCCAGCCAGCCUCUCCAGACCCAGCUCUCCCCCCCGGCUGCGCCUGCCGGCCCAGCUCCUGCCUCGCAACAGCCACGUUCGGCUCAGCUCCUGCCCAGCUCCUGGCAGCCUUUGUAGGCCCCAGGCUCCUCGAAGUGAGGCCUCUCAGGCCCCGCCUUCGGCUCCCCGGCGGCCUGGAGAGGCGCAGCUCCUGCGUGACAGCGGCCUCUCCGGGCCCGGCUCUUGCCUCGCGUCGGUCUCCCCGGACCACGUUGCCGCCUGCCUCGCGGCAGCCCUGACAGACCCGGCUCCUGCCUCCCGACGGCCUCUUUGGGCUCAUCUCGUGCCUCACCGCGACCUCCCCCAGGCCAGGCUCCUGCCUUUCGGCGGCCUCCGCGGGCCCGGCUCCUGCGUCCCGACGGCCUCUUUAGGCCCGGCUCGUCCCUCGCAACGGUCUCUUUCAGAGGCCCGGCUUCUCCCUCGUGGUGGCCUCUGCAGGCCCAAGUCGGCAAGCCACCCCCACGGCCCGACGGCUGCCUCCCGGCCUCCUCUCCAGGCCCGGCGCUCUCUCGCGGCUGCGCCUCCAUGCCCAGCCCCCGACUGCAGACAGCCGCUUCUGACUCGGCUCAUGCCGAGCUCCCGGCGGCCUUUGUAGGCCCGAAACCUCCUCCAGCCCAGCUCUCCAGGCCCACCUGUGGCCUCGCAGCGGCCUCCCCGGGCCCAGCUCUUGCCUCACGGAGGCCUUACCCGGCCGUGUUCCUGCCAGCCUCCCGGUGGCCUUGACAAGCCCAGCGCCUGCCUCACACUGGGCUCUGGAGGCCCAGCUCAAGCCUCACGGUGGCCUCUCCAGGCCCAGCUCCCGCCCGCCCCGACGGCGUCUCCCGUCCAAGGGUUUCUCAAGUGGGCCCCUUCAGGGCCCAGCUCCUGCCCCCCCGCCGAUGGCCUGUGCGGGCCCAAAGUGUCCUGAAGUCAGCCUCGCCAAGCCCAGCUCCUGCCUGUCGUAGGCCCGUGGAGUAGAGGCACAGCCUCUGCCUCCUCAUAGUGGACCCCCGCCAGGCCCAGCUCUUGCCUCAGCAUGGCCGCCUCAGGCCAGGCUCAUGUUCUGCCUGUGGGCAGCCUCCACGGGCCCAGCUCUCGCCUCUGGCCAUCCUCUCCAGGCCCAGAAGGGUUUCCAGCCAGCCUCUCCAGGCCCAGAACUGUUUCCAGCCAGCCUCUCCAGGCCCAGAACUGUUUCCAGCCAGCCUCUCCAGGCCCAGCUCUCCUUGCCGGCUGCGCGUGUCAGCCCAGCUCCUGCCUCGCAACAGCCACGUUCGGCCCAGCUCCUGCCCAGCUCCUGGCAGCCUUUGUAGGCCCCAGGCUCCUCGAAGGAGGCCCCGCCUUCGGCUCUCCGGCGGCCUGGAGAGGCCCAGCUUUUGCCUGACAGCGGCCUCUCUGGGCCCGGCUCUUGCCUCGCGUCCGCCUCCUUGGGCCACGUUGCCGCCUGCCUCGCGGCAGCCCCGGCAGGCCCAGCUCCUGCCUCCCGACGGCCUCUUUGGGCUCAUCUCGUGCCUCACCGCAGCCUCCCCAGGCCAGGAUCCUGCCUUUCGGCGGCCUCCGCGGGCCCAGCCCCUGCGUCCCGAUGGCCUCUUUAGGCCCGGCUUGUCCCUCUGAACGGCCUCUUUCAGAGGCCCGGCUUUUCCCUCGUGGUGGCCUCUGCGGGCCCAAGUCGGCAAGCCGCCACCACGGCCCGGUGGCUGCCUCCCGGCCUACUCUCGAGGCCCAGCGCUCUCUCACGGCUGCGCCUCCACGCCCAGCCCCAGCCUGCAGACAGCCGCUUCUGACUCGGUUUGUGCCCAGAUCCCGGCGGCCUUCGUAGGCCCGAAACCUCCUCCAGCCCAGCUCUCCAGGCCCACCAGUGGCCUCGCAGCGGCCUCCCCGGGCCCAGCUCUUGCCUCAACGGAGGCCUUCCCCGUCCGUGUUCCUGCCAGCCUCCCGGCAGCCUCGACAAGCCCAGCGCCUGCCUCACACUGGGCUCUUGAGGCCCAGCUGACGCCUCGCGGUGGCCUCUCCAGGCCCAGCUCCCGCCUGCCCCAGCAGCAUCUCCCGGCCCAAGGCUAUUUCAGAUGGGCCCCUCUAGGGCCCAGCUGCUGCACCCCAACCAAUGGCCUGUGCGAACCCAAAGCGUCUUGAAGUUGGCCUCGCCAGGCCCAGCUCCUGCCUGUCGUAGGCCCCUGGACUUGAGGCACGGCCUCUGCCUCCUCACAGUGGACCCCCGCCAGGCCCAGCUCUUGCCUUAGCGUUUCUGCCUCAGGCCAGGCUCAUGUUCUGCCUGUGGGCAGCCUCCACGGGCCCAGCUCUCGCCUCUGGCCAUCCUCUCCAGGCCCAGAAGUGUUUCCAGCCAGCCUCUCCAGGCCCAGAACUGUUUCCAGCCAGCCUCUCCAGGCCCACAACUGUUUCCAGCCCGCCUCUCCAGGCCCAGCUCUCCUUGCCGGCUGCGCGUGUCAGCCCAGCUCCUGCCUCGCAACAGCCACGUUCGGCCCAGCUCCUGCCCAGCUCCUGGCAGCCUUUGUAGGCCCCAGGCUCCUCGAAGGAGGCCCUGCCUUCGGCUCUCCGGCGGCCUGGAGAGGCCCAGCUUUUGCCUGACAGCGGCCUCUCUGGGCCCGGCUCUUGCCUCGCGUCCGCCUCCUUGGGCCACGUUGCCGCCUGCCUCGCGGCAGCCCCGGCAGGCCCAGCUCCUGCCUCCCGACGGCCUCUUUGGGCUCAUCUCGUGCCUCACCGCGGCCUCCCCAGGCCAGGAUCCUGCCUUUCGGUGGCCUCCGCGGGCCCAGCCCCUGCGUCCCGAUGGCCUCUUUAGGCCCGGCUCGUCCCUCUGAACGGCCUCUUUCAGAGGCCCGGCUUUUCCCUCGUGGUGGCCUCUGCGGGCCCAAGUCGGCAAGCCGCCACCACGGCCCGGUGGCUGCCUCCCGGCCUACUCUCGAGGCCCAGCGCUCUCUCACGGCUGCGCCUCCACGCCCAGCCCCAGCCUGCAGACAGCCGCUUCUGACUCGGUUUGUGCCCAGAUCCCGGCGGCCUUCGUAGGCCCGAAACCUCCUCCAGCCCAGCUCUCCAGGCCCACCAGUGGCCUCGCAGCGGCCUCCCCGGGCCCAGCUCUUGCCUCAACGGAGGCCUUCCCCGUCCGUGUUCCUGCCGGCCUCCCGGCAACCUCGACAAGCCCAGCGCCUGCCUCACACUGGGUUCUUGAGGCCCAGCUGACGCCUCGCGGUGGCCUCUCCAGGCCCAGCUCCCGCCUGCCCCAGCAGCAUCUCCCGGCCCAAGGCUAUUUCAGAUGGGCCCCUCUAGGGCCCAGCUGCUGCACCCCAACCAAUGGCCUGUGCGAACCCAAAGCGUCUUGAAGUUGGCCUCGCCAGGCCCAGCUCCUGCCUGUCGUAGGCCCCUGGACUUGAGGCACGGCCUCUGCCUCCUCACAGUGGACCCCCGCCAGGCCCAGCUCUUGCCUUAGCGUUUCUGCCUCAGGCCAGGCUCAUGUUCUGCCUGUGGGCAGCCUCCACGGGCCCAGCUCUCGCCUCUGGCCAUCCUCUCCAGGCCCAGAAGUGUUUCCAGCCAGCCUCUCCAGGCCCAGAACUGUUUCCAGCCAGCCUCUCCAGACCCAGCUCUCCCUCCCGGCUGCGCCUGCCGGCCCAGCUCCUGCCUCGCAACAGCCACGUUCGGCUCAGCUCCUGCCCAGCUCCUGGCAGCCUUUGUAGGCCCCAGGCUCCUCGAAGUGAGGCCUCUCAGGCCCCGCCUUCGGCUCCCCGGCGGCCUGGAGAGGCGCAGCUCCUGCGUGACAGCGGCCUCUCCGGGCCCGGCUCUUGCCUCGCGUCGGUCUCCCCGGACCACGUUGCCGCCUGCCUCGCGGCAGCCCUGACAGACCCGGCUCCUGCCUCCCGACGGCCUCUUUGGGCUCAUCUCGUGCCUCACCGCGACCUCCCCCAGGCCAGGCUCCUGCCUUUCGGCGGCCUCCGCGGGCCCGGCUCCUGCGUCCCGACGGCCUCUUUAGGCCCGGCUCGUCCCUCGCAACGGUCUCUUUCAGAGGCCCGGCUUCUCCCUCGUGGUGGCCUCUGCAGGCCCAAGUCGGCAAGCCACCCCCACGGCCCGACGGCUGCCUCCCGGCCUCCUCUCCAGGCCCGGCGCUCUCUCGCGGCUGCGCCUCCAUGCCCAGCCCCCGACUGCAGACAGCCGCUUCUGACUCGGCUCAUGCCGAGCUCCCGGCGGCCUUUGUAGGCCCGAAACCUCCUCCAGCCCAGCUCCCCAGGCCCACCUGUGGCCUCGCAGCGGCCUCUCCGGGCCCAGCUCUUGCCUCACGGAGGCCUUACCCGGCCGUGUUCCUGCCAGCCUCCCGGUGGCGUUGACAAGCCCAGCGCCUGCCUCACAGUGGGCUCUGGAGGCCCAGCUCAAGCCUCAGGUGGCCUCUCCAGGCCCAGCUCCCGCCCGCCCCGACGGCGUCUCCCAUCCAAGGCUCUCAAGUGAGCCCCUUCAGGGCCCAGCUCCUGCCCCCCCGCCGAUGGCCUGUGCGGGCCCAAAGUGUCCUGAAGUCAGCCUCGCCAAGCCCAGCUCCUGCCUGUCGUAGGCCCGUGGAGUAGAGGCACAGCCUCUGCCUCCUCAUAGUGGACCCCCGCCAGGCCCAGCUCUUGCCUCAGCAUGGCCGCCUCAGGCCAGGCUCAUGUUCUGCCUGUGGGCAGCCUCCACGGGCCCAGCUCUCGCCUCUGGCCAUCCUCUCCAGGCCCAGAAGUGUUUCCAGCCAGCAUCUCGAGGCCCAGCUCUCCUUGCCGGCUGCGCCUGCCGGCCCAGGUCCUGCCUCGCAACAGCCACGUUCGGCCCAGCUCCUGCCCAGCUCCUGGCAGCCUUUGUAGGCCCCAGGCUCCUCGAAGUGAGGCCUCCCAGGCCCCGCCUUUGGCUCCCCGGUGGCCUGAAGAGUCCCAGCCGCUGCCUGAGAGCGGUCUCUCCGUGGGUGCCAGUAAUCCCAGCUGCUCGAGAGGCUAAGGCAGGAGAAUUUCUUGAUCCCGUGAGGCGGAGUGUACAAUGUUAAAAGUUUCCUUUUCAAAUUUUCCCUUCUUCAUAAUGAAUAAAUGAUAAGUUUUAGAAAUAAUUUCUUUUAAAAA